GUGCUACUUAGCGAGGUAGGGAAAACCCCAGAUGCCCCAAAUCAUUUGAGGAGCUGGGAGGCGAAGAGGCAGAAGCAGCCGAGCCUUGUCCACGGCGCCCUGGGGUAGGAGACCCAUGGAGAAGUUUCGGGAGGUGUUGACCUUGCAACUCAAACACCGCAACGCUCUGGGCUACUGCCUGGUGAGCCUGCUGACGGUGGGCGGGGAGCGCAUCUUCUCCAGCGCGGUCUUCCAGUGCCCGUGCAGCGCCGCCUGGAACCUGCCCUACGGCCUGGUCUUCCUGCUGGUGCCGGCGCUGGCGCUCUUCCUUCUGGGCUGCAUGCUGAACGGGAGCACCUGGCGCGUGCUGACCGGCUGCUGCUCUCGGGGCUGCUGCGCGGGGCUGCGCAAGGCCUGGGUGUGCUUGAACAUCAGCGUCUCCGCCUUGGUGGCGCCGCUCAUCUGGGUGUCCAUGGCGCUGCUCGGGGGCACCUUCUACGAGUGCCUUGCCAGCGGGACCAAGUUAGCGGUACGGUGCCUGUGCCGGAACUCCACCUCGAGCUGCUCCGCCCAGCUGCCGCUGGUGCCCUGCCAGCAGGCCCAGGAGCCCGACAUGAAGCAGCUGCAGAAGGAGCUGCAGAGGGAGCUCACGGCACAGUCGCAGAUAUUAGGCUGGAGCCUGAUAGCAAUUGUUAUCAUCGUCCUCCUGUUUUUUAUAUCAAUCAAUCGACACUGCUCUCCAAUUAGUUACAUGCAGCUGAAAUUUUGGGAAAUCUAUUUGCAACAGGAGCAGCAGAUUUUUAAAAGUCAAGCCACAGAACAUGCAACGCAACUGGCAAAGGAAAAUGUCAAAUGUUUCUUUGAGUGCUCACAUCCACAGGAAUGCAAAACUCCAAGUAUUGAAGACUGGCAGAAGAUUUCAUCACUAUAUACUUUCAUUCCAAAGGAGCAGUACUACAGUAAUGCACAAAUACGUGAACAAAAACAGAAGAAUCAAAGUAGCACAUCUCAAGAAUAUGCAAUGGUUCCUGGUCCUGGCUUUGCAGAUUCAUCUGAUAUGAACAGCACUACAGACUUAUGA
rnacentral:lncRNA from 1 species